AGAGUUUGAUCCUGGCUCAGAACGAACGCUGGCGGCAGGCCUAACACAUGCAAGUCGAGCGCAGUCCUUCGGGACCGAGCGGCGGACGGGUUAGUAACGCGUGGGAACAUACCCUUUUCUACGGAAUAGCCUCGGGAAACUGAGAGUAAUACCGUAUAAGCCCUUCGGGGGAAAGAUUUAUCGGGAAAGGAUUGGCCCGCGUUAGAUUAGAUAGUUGGUGGGGUAAUGGCCUACCAAGUCUACGAUCUAUAGCUGGUUUUAGAGGAUGAUCAGCAACACUGGGACUGAGACGCGGCCCAGACUCCUACGGGAGGCAGCAGUGGGGAAUCUUAGACAAUGGGCGCAAGCCUGAUCUAGCCAUGCCGCGUGUGUGAUGAAGGUCUUAGGAUCGUAAAGCACUUUCGCCAGGGAUGAUAAUGACAGUACCUGGUAAAGAAACCCCGGCUAACUCCGUGCCAGCAGCCGCGGUAAUACGGAGGGGGUUAGCGUUGUUCGGAAUUACUGGGCGUAAAGCGUACGUAGGCGGAUCAGAAAGUAGGGGGUGAAAUCCCAGGGCUCAACCCUGGAACUGCCUCCUAAACUCCUGGUCUUGAGUUCGAGAGAGGUGAGUGGAAUUCCAAGUGUAGAGGUGAAAUUCGUAGAUAUUUGGAGGAACACCAGUGGCGAAGGCGGCUCACUGGCUCGAUACUGACGCUGAGGUACGAAAGUGUGGGGAGCAAACAGGAUUAGAUACCCUGGUAGUCCACACCGUAAACGAUGAAUGCCAGUCGUCGGGCAGUAUACUGUUCGGUGACACACCUAACGGAUUAAGCAUUCCGCCUGGGGAGUACGGUCGCAAGAUUAAAACUCAAAUGAAUUGACGGGGGCCCGCACAAGCGGUGGAGCAUGUGGUUUAAUUCGAUGCAACGCGAAGAACCUUACCUACUCUUGACAUCCAGAGAAUUCGCUAGAGAUAGCUUAGUGCCUUCGGGAACUCUGAGACAGGUGCUGCAUGGCUGUCGUCAGCUCGUGUUGUGAAAUGUUGGGUUAAGUCCCGCAACGAGCGCAACCCUUAUCCUUGUUUGCCAGCACGUAAUGGUGGGAACUCCAGGGAGACUGCCGGUGAUAAACCGGAGGAAGGUGGGGACGACGUCAAGUCAUCAUGGCCCUUACGAGUAGGGCUACACACGUGCUACAAUGGCGUAUACAGAGGGCUGCCAACCAGCGAUGGUGAGCGAAUCCCACAAAGUACGUCGUAGUCCGGAUCGGAGUCUGCAACUCGACUCUGUGAAGUCGGAAUCGCUAGUAAUCGUGAAUCAGAAUGUCACGGUGAAUACGUUCCCGGGCCUUGUACACACCGCCCGUCACACCAUGGGAGUGGGCUGCACCAGAAGUAGAUAGCUUAACCUUCGGGAGGGCGUUUACCACGGUGUGGUUCAUGACUGGGGUGAAGUCGUAACAAGGUAACC
rnacentral:rRNA from 1 species